CCUACGGGAGGCAGCAGUGGGGAAUAUUGCGCAAUGGGCGCAAGCCUGACCCAGCAACGCCGCGUGAAUGAAGAAGGCUUUCGGGUUGUAAACUUCUUUUAAGAGGGAAGAGCAGAAGUCGUUACCUCUUGAAUAAGCUACGGCUAACUACGUGCCAGCAGCCGCGGUAACACGUAGGUGGCAAGCGUGGUCCGGAUUUACUGGGGGUAAAGGGCAUGAAGCCGGGCAGACAAGUCAGAUGUGAAAGCCGGGGGCUCAACCCGCGAACUGCAUUUGAAACUGUGUGUCUAGAGUAUCGGAGAGGCGGGCAGAAUUCCUAGUGUAGCGGUGAAAUGCGUAGAGAUGAGGAGGAACACCAGAGGCGAAGGCAGCCUCCUGGGC
rnacentral:rRNA from 1 species